rnacentral:rRNA from 1 species
GAUGAACGCUGGCGGCGUGCUUAACACAUGCAAGUCGAACGAUGAAGCCCAGCUUGCUGGGUGGAUUAGUGGCGAACGGGUGAGUAACACGUGAGUAACCUGCCCUUAACUCUGGGAUAAGCCUGGGAAACUGGGUCUAAUACCGGAUAGGAGCGCCUACCGCAUGGUGGGUGUUGGAAAGAUUUAUCGGUUUUGGAUGGACUCGCGGCCUAUCAGCUUGUUGGUGAGGUAAUGGCUCACCAAGGCGACGACGGGUAGCCGGCCUGAGAGGGUGACCGGCCACACUGGGACUGAGACACGGCCCAGACUCCUACGGGAGGCAGCAGUGGGGAAUACUGCACAAUGGGCGAAAGCCUGAUGCAGCGACGCCGCGUGAGGGAUGACGGCCUUCGGGUUGUAAACCUCUUUCAGUAGGGAAGAAGCGAAAGUGACGGUACCUGCAGAAGAAGCACCGGCUAACUACGUG